CCCCAGGUUCCUACAUCAGACCCUUUUGGACAAAGCUUCGCAUCUGAAAUGUUAAAGGCUUCAGGUCACUACCACGAACGUCUGUGGGCAGGAAGCACGGCCACCACCCUCCUUUGCUGGCAAGAGCGCUGGAUGACCAUUUGGCAACAUCCCCUAAAAGCACAAAUGUGCAUGCCCUUUGGCCUCGCACGUCAGCUUCUAGGAAUGUAUGGAACUGAUACCAUCACAGACGUGGGGAGUGGCACGGACACAGCCACUCAGGGCAGUACAGUUUGCAAGAAAGAGGUGAAAACACUGUAAAGGCCCAUGCCCUGAGGACAGGUUCAAAAUUCAUGGUGUGUGCAUGCAAUGGAAUGCUGCGCGGCUGUGAAUAAAUGAAGGAAUGAAUGAAUGAAUGAAUGAAUGAGUGGGGAAGCUUGCUAUGUCCUUCUGUGGAAAGAUCACCAGGAUAUCUUGCAAAGUAAAAAAAACAGGAAGGAGGCAGAACAAUGCUACUAUUUAUGUUUUCAGUGGGGGAGGGAAGAACAAGGAACAGACUCAGAUUGGCUGAAUUAUACCAGCUUCCGGGUGAUUCUUUUGGAUCCAGAAGUUGGAAAACCGUAGCAUCAAUGGGAUGAACUCCAAGGAAAUGUAACAGGCCUACUGGAGUUAUCCAUUCACUUAUUUAUUCUUUCAACAGAUAUUUCAGCCCUUGAGUGAAAAAAAGUGCCUAGAACUGGUCCCAACUCUCAAGAAAUUUAGUGUGUUGACCGCGAGACACACAGAAGCGAGCAAUUAGGUCCGGACCCAGACUUGCUUCUCCAUCCAAACCUGCUGCUCCUGCUGUUGGUCCUGUUUCAGUCAAAGGUCGGCUGUGGCUCUUCUUCACACAUCAUCUUCAUUUUGCGAUCAUGGCUGAAGGAGCAGCUCCAUCUGGGACGGGAAGUUAUGGGGACCAAAGACGAAGAACAAUGGGAUGAACCAGGCCACCGUUGUAAAACAUCUGCUCAGACGCAUUGUCCCCUCCAAAUGCAAGUCGGUUAGUGAAACCCAGUUCUUGCACGUGCUGCAAGAAACCCUAAGAUGGUGAGUUUUUUGGUUUCUGCCUUGGGGAAGAAAGAGAGGGAGAGUCAGAAGUGUUGGGCAGCCCCAAAGGUGGGAUUUUGG
rnacentral:lncRNA from 1 species